rnacentral:lncRNA from 1 species
GAGCCAACAGAUGUACAGAUGCUUUGACUUUUCUGAGAAUGAAAAAUAUGCAAAACCCAAGAGACUGAACUCUUGAUUUGCAGCUAUAACUUUUGUGAUUGAAGCUAGUGAAAGGAUUUGGAAAUACGUACAGGAGGAAAAACCAGAACGCUGUGCUGUGUAGCAGAAUGGCGUCAGGCGGUGCAUGCCAUUGAAAGCCCAUGCGAGCUGUUGGGCUCCAACCUUGGCUGGACUGUGGAUGAGACCAGUGUCCCAGUUUCAAGACUUACAAGUUUGGAAGAAAAAUUAAUUCUAUUCGUAUGGCAGAGCUGGUUUUAAGGGAAAAAGGACGAUUUCUCAGAACACAGAGAAACUUCACCAGAAUACAUCAAAUAGCACUGAAAGUCAAUUAAUGCAGAGGUAGAAAAGGGAAGCAUCCAGCUUUACCUCUCUCCAGACUGUGAUAAGUCUCUUGCAAAUUUAACAGUCAGAAACGAUUGUUUUGUUUUCGACAAGUGGCAUUACUUCCUCUUAUACUGGAAUUAAAAUUGAUUAAAGCUGAUUCAUGACUUUUCAAUAUUUUCCGCAUCCGUUUGUUGCUUUCUAUUUGAAAACAUUAUUUCAGUGAAAUUAACACAGAUAGCUUUUCCUUGGUUUUUUUUUUUUUUUUUGAACUGUCUAAGUAUUAAGUUGAGAGAUUGGUAUAACUAGUGUUUUCUGACUGAGCAUAUUUGCUGCUACACUAUGCUGGUGAAUUUAGCAUUAAUUUCACUUUAGGUAGUAGAAGGGGCACUUUUUAAUAGAAAUAUUUUCUGUAAAAAAUAAAUGCUUUUAGAAAUGAUGUCUUCCUAAGGGA